rnacentral:rRNA from 1 species
GAUUGCGGGACGUCAUCUUCAGUACGAGAGGACCGAGAUGGCUCGACCGCUGGUGAGCCAGUUGGGGGGCCUCCCCCAGAGCUGGAUAGCUACGUCGAGAAGGGAUAAGCGCUGAAAGCAUCUAAGCGCGAAGCCGCUCCCAAGACCAAUCUUCCCAUCUUUUCGUGAGAUCAAGAUCCCAGGGAGAAGACCUGGUAGAUAGACGGCAGGUGCACGCCGGGUAACCGGUGCAGCUAAGCCGCCCUAAUGAUCGUACGGCUUGUUUCA